rnacentral:lncRNA from 1 species
ACCAGUGUUAUUGUUCAGAAAAAGUUCUCUUAUUUGUUUAACUACUUUGUUUGUUUGUUUGUUCAACAGAUUGGGUGGCCAGCUUCUGUGCAGAAAAAGGGAAAGCACUGACACACUCAACUGAAGAAGUUGUCUUGUGAUGAAACAGCACAUUUCAGUGACCGAUGACAGCAUGGAGAACUAUAAAUUCACUGAUUGAUCCUAAACUAUUGAGUGCUUAGCCCUGGCAGAAGAGCAGGACAAGGCCCAUGUGGCAUUCAGAUAACAUCUGCAGCUUAUCUGGAAGUCUUACAAGGUUUAACUAUGCUGAAGACCAUCCAGUGGAAAGAAAUCUUAUUAUCUUCAGCUUAAUGUUUCAUUAUCU